rnacentral:rRNA from 1 species
UACGUAGGGUGCAAGCGUUGUCCGGAAUUAUUGGGCGUAAAGAGCUCGUAGGCGGUCUGUCGCGUCUGCUGUGAAAUCCCGGGGCUCAACCCCGGGCUUGCAGUGGAUACGGGCAGACUAGAGUUCGGUAGGGGAGACUGGAAUUCCUGGCGUAGCGGCGAAAUGCGCAGAUAUCAGGAGGAACACCGAUGGCGAAGGCAAUCCCCUGGGCCUGCACUGACGCUCAUGCACGAAAGCGUGGGGAGCAAACAGG